CUAUCCGCUUAAAGUGUCGAGGAAGGUUGAAACAUUGAAGCUAAUGCAGAGCUGUCCUUCAGCUACAAUGUGUACACACAUGAAGAGCAGCCUGCCUUCUCUCCUGGAUGCAUAUCUCCCACCUCAGCUCAAGAAGCAGGAUAACCACGGUCAACAGAAAAGUCCACAAAAAGAUG